UCCCACAAUCCAUGUGUUAAGAUGUUAGUAGAGCUUGUACAACUAUUGUUGGUUGAACUCAAAGUCAAAGUGAACUACAUGGUUGGUUAAAAAGAUAUUUCAAGGCUUCUAACGUGCAUCUACUAAUGACUCGAUCGAAAAAAUCCACUUGUUACCCACAAGAUGAACUUAGCUAUAAUCUCCCAUCGAUUAUGUUUAGCAACUUUCUCCCCCUAAAAGUUCACUCUAUCCCUGAGGAGAGUGAGGAUACGUCAACAAAUUCUGACUCUCCAAGGUCUUUGCAUUUGUGGGAUUAUGGUGACUCGUUUGGUCCACCAGCUAACUGGCGCCUCCAAUUCUCUAUGAUGACAAAGUCUACUCACACAACCCCUGUAGUAAAGACGAAGUAUGGUGAAAAUCGAACAACUCAUAAAGGUAAAUCACUAUCUUAUAUUUUGCCAACUUCAAAGCAAGGUAAGAUCUCUGCGAGUAUUGUUGAGGUGACAUACGAAGUUAAGCAAAUUAUUGGAAGUUUGUUUUGAUAGGUUUUGUGAUUGGGGACACCCCUUAUUUGAAAUCCAUUGAGACUUACAUCUCGCAUGUACAAACCAAGGUAUUGAGUCAUUAUAUUGGGUACUUUAUCUUUAGAUUUGAUAUGGCUUAGGAGUGUGAUAGAUUGUUAAUAGGAGGGACUUAUACCUUCCAUAACAAGUCAUUUAUUGUCCAAGCUUGGGACAUUGAUUUUAAAUUUAACCCUAAUUGCAUUACACCAACCCACUGUGGGUUACUUUCCUAGGCCUUCCUGUUGGUUAUUGGUAAUGUGAAGCGCUGACUCUGAGCAAAGUUUCCCAAACAUACAAAUCGGUUCACUGUACUUUUUAGCAGCCUGUGAAGUAUGAGCGAAGACCAAAAUACUGUGGAAAUUGUCUGAAGUUUGGCCACAUCUCUGAGAGUUAUUGGUCAAAAAGAGAAAAGGUUGUGCAAGAUGCUGAGAAGUUUGAGGCGGUACCAAAGGUGAAGGGGAGAAAUAGGUGCAGAAAGAGGCCACAAAGGUAGCAGUGGUAGAGUAGAUGGAUGAGGAGAAGAUACCUGCUCCUUUUAACCCCUCUUCCCCCUCCCCAGUGCUGCUACUUGUGAUAAAGAAAUAACUACUAAACCUAGCUCUUCACAUGGAUUAUCUGGUGUGUGAAGGAACUAGGGACAAGCUAGUACUAACAAGGGCAGCACUAUCCAGUUUGCUUCUCUACUACAUAUCCCAGUUAAUGAUAGACCUCCAAGUCUACUUGGAGAUGCUCCAAAUAUAUGAUUAUAGAGACAUCGAACAUCAGGGGUCUAAACUAGCCCUUGAAAUAGAAAGAGCUAAAGCUCUUCUGACAAAGCAUAAGAUUGAUAUUUGUGGUUGUCUGAAACCAGAGUAAAGAAAAAUAAGGCUUCUAAUAUACUAAAUAAAGUAGUAGAAGGGUGGAAUACUUGUUGUUACUACCCAACGACUCCUAAUGGUAGGAUAUGGAUACUAUGGCAACCACAUGUGCAAGUAUCUAUUUUGAAUAUCAAAGAGCAAUUUAUUCACUAAUAUAUGGGUGAUGCUAGUGGCACCUUCUCUGCCUAUAUCACUAUUAUUUAUGCUAAGAAUGGUAUGCAGAAGAGAGUAGAACUAUGGGAAGAUCUCAAAGUGCUGAGAAAUUCUAUUUAGGAACCAUGACUCCUGAGUGGGGACUUUAAUAUUGUAUUAUCCCCUAAUGAUAGAUUGGGCUCUGCAGUUACUCAGAUGGAAACGCAAGACUUCAAGGACUGUAUGGAUCACCUUCAGUUAACACCUCUGAAUGCAAAAGGUUGUCGCUAUACUUUUUGUAAUAAACAAUAGCUGGAUCAUAGGGUCUACUCAAAGAUUGACUAGGCACUAGGAAACUACCAAUGGUUACAGAGUUAUGGGGAUAUUGAGGCUGAAUUUUUUAAUCUAGAGGUGUCUGCCCACUUCCCUAUCUUCAUCCUUCAUAAUGCUCAACAAAUAUACAGACCAAAACCUUUCAAACUCUACAGAACAGUGCUGGAGCACAAGGAGUCUCAGUGAUUAUAGCAUCCACAUGGAGGAAGCAAUUUUAUGGCACAAAUAUGUACAAACAAAGUCAAAAACUUAAAGCUCUGAAAUGUGAUCUAUAGGGGAUAAACUCUUAUCUUGCAUCUUAUUCUCAAAGAAGCCAACUCAUUAGAGUAAAGUUAGAAAUUACACAAAAUAGGAUUGUUGUAGACCCCCUUAAUCAAGAAUUGAUAAGUGAAGAGAAGGAACUAAUCAGGUCUUUCAUAAGUGGAUUUUAGUGGAAGAAAAAGUGUUGAGGCAGAAGUCUAGGCAACACGGACUAAAUGCGAUGAUGCCAACUCCAAGUACUUUCAUGCUCAAUGUAAAAUCAGAGCCAGCAGAAACAAUAUUUCUUCUAUCUAUGAUACUUAAGCUGAGCUUCCCUGUCCUAACUCUAUGGUGAUCAAAAGUGGUCCAUGCUUAUCACAACCUCAGAAACUCAAUCUUAUUCAAGAUGUUACUGAUCUGAAAAUCCUACAUGCUUUGAAGAAUAUGCCUGUGGACAAAGCACCAGGUUGGUGAUUUCAAGGUACUGGAAUACUCUAUGGCUUCCAGAGUUGACUCCAAGGCUCCUUUUAUCUAUCUUGGCAUCUUUACUAGUUUUCGGAGACACACAAUUGUACUUUUGGUAUUUCAGAUCUAUUUAUUAGAUGCUCUACAUUUAUGACCGUAGAUUUGAGGGAUUUUAUGUAUUUUAUUUAGACUUUUGCUAAAUUUUCAUGUGUAUUGACCUGACAUCAUUCUAGAAGUCUCGUCGUGUCUUAUAUUAUUAUUGUUUUUGAA